rnacentral:rRNA from 1 species
AGUGAACGCUGGCGGUAGGCCUAACACAUGCAAGUCGAACGGCAGCACAGUAAGAGCUUGCUCUUACGGGUGGCGAGUGGCGGACGGGUGAGGAAUACAUCGGAAUCUACUUUUUCGUGGGGGAUAACGUAGGGAAACUUACGCUAAUACCGCAUACGACCUACGGGUGAAAGUAGGGGAUCUUCGUACCUUGCGCGAUUGAAUGAGCCGAUGUCGGAUUAGCUAGUUGGCGGGGUAAAGGCCCACCAAGGCGACGAUCCGCAGCUGGUCUGAGAGGAUGAUCAGCCACACUGGAACUGAGACACGGUCCAGACUCCUACGGGAGGCAGCAGUGGGGAAUAUUGGACAAUGGGCGCAAGCCUGAUCCAGCCAUACCGCGUGGGUGAAGAAGGCCUUCGGGUUGUAAAGCCCUUUUGUUGGGAAAGAAAAGCAGCAGGUUAAUACCCCGCUGUUCUGACGGUACCCAAAGAAUAAGCACCGGCUAACUUCGUG